UACGUAGGGACCAAGCGUUGUUCGGAUUUACUGGGCGUAAAGGGCGCGUAGGCGGCAACUCAAGUCAUCUGUGAAAUCUCCGAGCUUAACUCGGAACGGUCAGAUGAUACUGCUUUGCUAGAGUACAGAAGGGGCAAUCGGAAUUCUUGGUGUAGCGGUGAAAUGCGUAGAUAUCAAGAGGAACACCUGAGGUGAAGACGGGUUGCUGGGCUGAUACUGACGCUGAGGCGCGAAAGCUAGGGUAGCAAACGGG
rnacentral:rRNA from 1 species